CGCCUGCGCAGUAGCAGGGGCUUUCUAAUCUGCCAUUUGCGUGGGGUGUGGAGCUGUGCGGGUUACGUCUUUCCGUCUCGAUUCUCCCUUGGAGUCUGAAAGUCAACUGCUUGAAAUAUGAAUUGGCAAGUAAGGUCAACAUUCAGGCCUAGAGCAAGACGAGAUGAUGAAAAAUAUUUGAAGCCGUUUGGGCCUGUGGUUGCCCAACAGCCCAGUGCUGAGCAACAAGGAGAGGAGCCACCAACUGAGCGUCAAGAUGUUAUACCUGAUCAAGAGAAAAGAGAUGAAGGAGCACCUGUAGCUCAAGGGCCUGCCCUGGAACCAAAUCAGGAGGAACUGACUCUUCCCAAGACUGAGCGUGAGCAUGGAGAUGGUCCUGAUGUCAAAGGGAAGAGACUCGCAGACCUAGAGCCCCUUAAGAUGCUGGAAGCAGGCGAAGGGAAACCCCAGAAUUGAACGAAGACAAGCUGAAACCAUGUAGACUGUUCUUGUGUUCAAAAUUUGUUAAAAUUAUCUCAAUAAAGUUUUGCAGUUUUGUUCAAA